UACGUAGGGUGCGAGCGUUGCCCGGAUUUAUUGGGCGUAAAGGGCGCGUAGGCGGCUCUGCACGUCCGUUGUGAAAUCGCCCGCUCAACUGGGCGGGGUCAGCGGAUACGGCGGAGCUUGAGCAAGCUAGGGGGCAAUGGAAUUCCCGGUGUAGUGGUGGAAUGCGUAGAUAUCGGGAGGAACACCAGUGGCGAAGGCGGUUGCCUGGAGCUUUGCUGACGCUGAUGCGCGAAAGCGUGGGGAAGCGAG
rnacentral:rRNA from 1 species